rnacentral:rRNA from 1 species
CACGUAGGGGCGAGCGUUGUCCGGAAUUACUGGGUGUAAAGGGCGUGUAGGCGGGUUCUUAAGUCAGAUGUGAAAUCACGGGGCUCAACUCCGGAGCUGCAUCUGAAACUGGGGAUCUUGAGUGCUGGAGGGGAAAGUGGAAUUCCUAGUGUAGCGGUGAAAUGCGUAGAGAUUAGGAGGAACACCAGUGGCGAAGGCGGCUACCUGGACCAACACUGACACUGAGGUGCGAAAGCGUGGGGAGCAAAACAGGAUUAGAUACCCCUGGUAGU